CAUGGGUUCUCUGGGCUGAAGCUCACCAGCACACCUGGAGCUCGUCAGCCCAUUAGAGGACCCUCUACUUAAGCAGAUGCCAGACCUUUCUUCGACGCCGCAGUGUUAGCUAAGUUUGGUUAGCGAACCUGAGCCUCCUUGUCUUUGAUUUUGUCCCCUAGAGAAAACUGAAUCCUAACCAGCCUUUGUCUUGUCACUCCUAGGAAAACCUGUCUCUCGUGUGAAGCUCUGAGAGAGCUUAACCUGAAUCUGCCUGCCUGCCCUAGAGAGCCAAACCUAAAGAUCUCACUUUGGAAUCCACCUGCUGCUCUCGGAAGGAGAGCUAACCCCUCAAUCCAAGGUCUGAUCCAACAGUCAGAAGUUAGACACUGCACCUGCUGAGCACUCUGUCAAACCAACAGUCUCUGGACCCAACCGGUUCCCCCCCUCUGAGAAGAAAGCCUGAAACUCUCCAAGACGCCUGAGAAUCCAGCCCGGACCUGUUUCCUGAACGCAGUCUUAUUUUGUGCAAACAUUUAAUAAACUCUGUUAAACUUUUCA